rnacentral:lncRNA from 1 species
UGAGAGUGUUUCAACUGCCACUGCGCCACGUCAGUUUAGGCAGUUUCCUACGUUGAACUGAUGAAACCCCGCGCGGCGGAGGGCUCGCGGAGACCAUGCUCGCCGCCGCCGCCGCCGCCGCCGCCGCCGUCAAGGGGAGGAUCAAAUCGCGGCCACGGCUACCUCCUCUCGCCUCGCCGGCGACGACUUCCACAUGCGCUCCCGCUCCCGCCGCCACCGCUCGCCGCGGCUCUCAUGCGGCCGCGUCUCAAGUCGUCUCCCACGCGUCGCUCCUCCUCCGGCUGCAGUCGUGCCCGGAUUUCCAGGAGGCACGGAGGCUUCACGCGGCGGUCCUCGUCGGCGGCCACGGCCACGGCACCGUCCUCGUCGCACAGUUGGUGCGCGCGUACGCGAAGCUCGGGGAUGUCGCGCACGCGCUGCGGGUGUUCGACGGAAUGCCGAGGAGGAACUCCUUCGCGUGGAACGCCGUGAUCAAGGGCCUUGUCGACGCUGGUAGAUUCUCGGAGGCGCUGGAGAUGUUUUGGGGGAUGGUGAACGAUGGCUCGGUAGCGGUGGAUGGUUUCACGUAUCCGCCUGUCAUCAAGGCGUGUGCUGCGCUUGGAGCUGUUGCGCAGGGGAGGAAGGUAUGGGAGAUGGUGGAGACUGACAUUGCCAGCGGUAAUGCGAGGCCCAACGUGUUUGUGCAGUGCGCGCUUGUGGAUAUGUUUGCAAAGUGUGGGUGCUUGGAUGAAGCAAGGAAUGUUUUUGAGAGCAUGCAAGUGAGGGAUUUGGCUGCGUGGACUGCGAUGAUUGGAGGAACUGUGCAUUCAGGGAACUGGCUUGAGGUGGUGGAUUUGUUCAAUCACAUGAGAUCAGAAGGGUUUGGGGUUGACUCUCUAAUUGCUGCAACUGUCAUUUCAGCGUGUGGGAGAGCAGGUGAAUUGCAGGUUGGAACUGCAUUGCAUGGAUGUGCUGUGAAAAGUGGAGCAAGUGGUGAUAUAUAUGUUUCCAACGCCUUGGUAGAUAUGUACUGCAAAUGCGGUUGCGUAGAGAUGGCUGAUUGUCUUUUCUGGUCUACAAAUUCCAAAGAUGUUGUCUCCUGGAGUAGCUUGAUUGUGGGGUAUUCACAAAAUGGAAUGCAUAAUGUGAGUGUCAGUUUGUUCUGUGAAAUGAUCUCUUUGGGGAUAAACCCCAACUCUAGUACUCUGGCAAGCAUACUUCCUUGUCUUUCUGUGCUGAAGUUAAUCAGGAGUGGAAAAGAAAUUCAUUGCUUCUCUAUAAGACAUGGACUUGAGAGAAGUGAGUUUGUAGUGAGCGCACUUAUAGACUUGUACAGCAAACAGGGGUUGAUAAGGGUGGCAGAAACUAUAUUUUGGCUUACGCUGGACAAAGAUCUAGCCAUUUGGAACUCAAUGGUUGCAGGAUAUGCUGUGAAUGGAUAUUCAGACUCUGCAUUCUGCGCAUUGAGGUUAUUACAGAAAGUGGGUUUAAAACCUGAUCAUGUGACUGUUGUUUCAGUUCUUCCUUUAUGCAAUCAACACCAUAUGCUCAUCCAGGGUAAGGAACUACAUGCAUAUGUGAUCAAGUAUUGUAUUAACUCAGUCUGCUCAGUCAAUAAUGCACUUCUAGAUAUGUAUUGCAAGUGUGGUUUCCUAGAAGUAGCUAAAGAGGUUUUUCAACUGAUGACAGAACGCAAUACAGUUACAUAUAACAUACUGAUUUCUUCUUUUGGAAAGCAUAACCAUGAAGAUCAAGCCCUAUCAUUUUUCGAUCUAAUGAAGAGAGAUGGAAUUGCUCCAGAUAAAGUGACUUUUGUGGCACUACUAUCUUGUUGUAGCCAUGCUGGUCUCAUUGACAAGGGUUUGCACUUAUAUCAUUCCAUGUUACAUGACUACAAUAUUUCUCCAGAGAAGGAACACUACUCAUGCAUUGUUGAUCUCUACAGCAGAUGUGGGAAGCUUGAUGAGGCUUGGUGUUUCAUGUCAAAUAUGGCAGAAGAGCCAGAAAUCGAUGUCCUUGGAGGGCUCUUGGCAGCAUGUAGAGUGCAUAAUAGAAUGGACAUUGCUGAGCUGGUUGGGAAAAGAAUAUUUGAGCAAAAUCCCAAUGAUCCUGGCUAUCAUAUUCUGCUUUCUAAUAUCUACGCCGAUGCUGGAAUGUGGUCUGAUGUGACAAGGAUAAGAACUAUGAUACAAGAGAGAAAUUUGAAGAAGGAAACAGGAAAUAGCUUGACCUAAAAGUUAAACAAUGAGUGCACAAGUCUGUAUAAAAAGACAAGAACCUUUUGUUAUUUGUUAGAUCAUCAAACUAAAAAUGCGAUUGAAAAGUGCAGCUUGAUAAUUGGUAACAGACCUAGGAGAAUGGGAACUGUUAAGAAUCAGAGAAAAGCAAACCGUUUUCAACAUGCUUUUAGGACAUUUUCUCUAGAGGAAAUGAAGACUUUUUUGGGUAUAGGAGAUACUGGUAUUUGUUCACUAGCCAAGGACAUACUUUAUCAAGAAUACACUCCAAGGGAUGAUUAAUUAUUUAAUCAAGGGAAAAGGAUACUGCAGCGUCAAGCCUGGAGGUAUAGAUUCACUUUCAAGCUUGAAGAAAGCAAAGGAAGAAGGGCAUCCUUAUCUAAUGCGGGUCACAUCUGUUCGACAGCUCUGAAGAUCCGGUGUCAUUUGGACCACCUGCCCUGCUGCAGUGGUAACUUUCUUCAUCCACACACUUUGAAAUUCUUUAGCAAUUACUAGCUUCUAAACCAUAUUAAUUCCAAUAGAUCCGCAGACCAAUAAUUAGCUCCACUUAAGUUCACAUGUUGCUACAGCUUCAUGUAGCCGUUACUCGGGCGGUCGGCCGUUGGCCAGCUGCAGCCUGCAGAUACCGGAGCAUACAAUGUACCCUGCACAUGUGGAGCCUUGCUCUAUACAUCUCACAAUCCAAAAUUUUGACAACAAUUCCUAGUUAAUACUUUGACUCCACCUGUUACUAGCUGCCUGACGCAGAAAAUUGGCAAAUGCCUGUACCACUGUGCAAGGCUUUGGAGUUCGGAGCUUAAAUGGCACACCUCUCCAUGUGGGCAGAUAAGGUCGUCCUGAGAAUGAGCUACCGACCCACGCCCUCUCUUCAUGCUGCAGCCACCGACACUGUUUGAAUUUCUGCACUAAUGAAUUGCUUUGCUACUAGUACCACCCACCAGGGAUUAUUAGUUGCUGUAAGAGACAGUUUUGGAGGUUUGCUUGAUCUCAUGAUUCAUCAGCUCGAUCGUUUUGUAGGCUACUGCACAGCACAGUGUUGUCCGAGAGCUCAGUUUCAGCAAGGAGGGGGGGGGGGGGGGGUUCUGUCCAAUCAUGGGCAUGCCGAUGAUGGGCAAUUUCAUUGUAAAGGGUACCGACACAUAUGCAGGGUUUGAAGGAUCGCCUAGCUGGCUUAUCCUGCUACUAAUAAGUUGACUUCCCCAGGGCAUCCAGUAUUUGGUGGAUCUGCUUCCACGUAGCACUGAACUGGGUCAGUACUUUACUAAUCAGCUAUCAGGGCCGUAGUUUAUGGGAAAUGCAGUUAUAUUUUCCAAGGCAAACACAACUCUACUAUAUCCCCAAAUGCACUGUUUUCCAAGACAAGCAUAUCAAUUCUGUUACAAGCACAAGUAUACAUCCCAAAAUGGUGAGGUUUUCAUCAGAAAGGGAAUUGCAUGUGAAUGCAGCUAACGGAUCGGGGUAUAAUUCAAGCUGGAUUAUUCGAUCCUAACCUUCAUCUUCAAGCAAUCAAAUUAACAGCCCUGUUUAACAAAAGUUUGAGAGAUUUUGAAUGAGGAUCCGUGCAUGCAGCAGGAAAGUCGGCACGGAAGCUGGAGAUGAAAAGCUGAAACAUGAUUUCUUUUCAAAGAAAAAUGAAAAAAAAAAAACAGCAGCACUGCGCUGGCAGCCGGAGCCAAUGGGCGAGGGGCACGUGUCCCCGGAUUCCUCGACCGACCAGGGAGACUCCGCACGAGCAGGGCACGUGACGGACGAUCCGCUCGUCUUUAUAUACGGCUAAUGCGUCGCUGGUGAGUUUACCUGCAUCGCAUCAGCUCUCUUGACUCCUCUCUCUUCGUCUCAGCUUGGAGCUCAGUCUUUGAUUUUUCUUCUUCUUCUUGUUUGUGCAAUUGUGCAUCGUUGUUAGCUGGGAACAAGCAGAAGAAUGGCGGACAGCACGGCGACCUGCAUCGACAUCAUCCUCGCCAUCAUCCUGCCGCCGCUCGGCGUCUUCUUCAAGUUCGGCUGCGGGAUUGAGUUCUGGAUCUGCUUGCUGCUCACCUUCUUCGGCUACCUCCCCGGCAUCAUCUACGCUGUCUGGGUCAUCACCAAGUAGGAGGAGAAUUACUACCCUUCCAAGGUGAUGGUGAAUUGGUGAUCCGGAGCCUGUGAUUGGUUGUGCCUGGUGUAAGCGGCAGUUGUCAAAGCUGUGAUUUUCUGGUUCUUUGGACGGAUGGUGCUCGCUGUGGUGUUGUGUAUGCUGUACAUCUGUUUUGGUGUUUGUGCUUAGGUCCCUCUUCUGUUACAACAAUUGUUUUCUCCCUGUUCUUCCGGGGUACCUUCUCCAGUUUAUCUUCUGCACCUUCUCGUCCCUGUACUUUGAAUAUUAAUUAAUUAAUUAAUUAAUUGCUCCUUGUUAGCCAUCUGCUCAAAGAGUAAUUUAAGAAUCGUUUGACAAA